GCGCUACGUCAAGGAGCAGUUGUUCUGCUCCCGCCUUGUGAGUACCCAUUUUAUUUUUAUUUAUUUUACUACCAACAUUGUAUCCAGUGUACACUAUUGGCUGUUUCUUUCUACCCGAGUGUCGGAUACACCACUGACGGAGGAAGUCCACCCUAUAUCCCAUAAGCGGGUAUCAAACCGCUGUACGCCUUCUAUACUAGAGCAAGUUUAGCUCUUUCAAAUGUGAGUUUUAUUUUUCCCUUCUUAUUCAUUUUUAGUGUUUUUAACAUUUUACACUAUUGGCUCUCCACCCUUUUAUCUUCCAUAUACGAGUGGAUUCUCACGGAUGAACACAUAAAGGACAAUUGCUCCGGAUCAAGCACGGAUAGAUCUCCUAACCUCAAAGAGCAUAUUCUAGAUAAGACUUUCUUAUUUUACUACAGCUAUUUAUUUGGACUAUUUGCAAUUUUUAUUUGUGUAUUAGCGCAGCCCUUAUCCUUCAUUCUUUUUCUCGAAGCAUAGUAUUGCCUAAGAACUAAUAUACUUACCCAGUGGAGGAAUGAAGAAUAUUACACUGUUUACAAUUUUAAAUAAAAAGUAUACAAACAUAGCCAGGAUUCAGCUGUAAGCAUUUGCAACACUUACAACAAUCAAGUAACACACAUUCAUAUAAAAUGUAAGUUACUUAGCCAGUCAGUGUAAUGACAGGAAUGAAUAAGUAGAUAACUCCCUAAUUCCCACGGUAUUAGUGAGCUAUCUACUAAAAGGCUGAAUGACCUAAAUUGGUCUUUCAGCCAAAUUUACUAAGUAAAUAUUACUUAGUAUUAGUAAAUUAUGCCCCUACUCAACCCUGAGCGGUGGGUGGGGGACCUACAGUAAAACAAGGGGGGAGACCUAAUGUCCUCCCCCCGAGCGGUGGGUGGGGGCCCUAAAUACUAAUAAGGUGGGUGACCUAAUGUCCUCCCCCCUGGCCCCCACCCCUGAGCGGCGGGUGGGGGCCCUACAGUAAAAUAAGGGGGGGGACCUAAUGUCCUCCCCCGUGGCCCCCACCCCUAAGCGGCGGGUGGGGGCCCUAAAUACUAAUAAGGGGGGCCUAAGGUCCUUCCCCCUGGCCCCCACCCCUGAGCGGCAGGUGGGGGCCCUAAAUACCAAUAGGGGGGGACCUAUUGUCCUCCCCCCGGCCCCCACCCCUGAGCGGCGUGCAGGUGCCCUAAAUAAAAAUGUUGCACCCCCCCAGUUGACUAGGGGUCCCCAAACCCCUAGUCACCCC